rnacentral:rRNA from 1 species
CAGCAGCCGCCGCGGUAAUACAGAGGGUGCGAGCGUUAAUCGGAUUUACUGGGCGUAAAGCGUGCGUAGGCGGCUUUUUAAGUCGGAUGUGAAAUCCCUGAGCUUAACUUAGGAAUUGCAUUCGAUACUGGGAAGCUAGAGUAUGGGAGAGGAUGGUAGAAUUCCAGGUGUAGCGGUGAAAUGCGUAGAGAUCUGGAGGAAUACCGAUGGCGAAGGCAGCCAUCUGGCCUAAUACUGACGCUGAGGUACGAAAGCAUGGGGAGCAAACAGGAUUAGAUACCCGUGUAGUCCCUGUCUCUUAUAC